AACUUUUGGCAACGGAUCUCUUGGCUCUCGCAUCGAUGAAGAACGCAGCGAAAUGCGAUAAGUAAUGCGAAUUGCAGAAUUCCGCGAGCCAUCGAAUCUUUGAACGCACAUUGCGCCCCCUGGCAUUCCGGGGGGCAUGCCUGUCCGAGCGUCAUUAUCCACCCUCAAGCGCGGCUUGGCGUUGGGUCCCGCCGGGGCUGGCUCCCGACGGACCCCAAACACGGUGGCGGAUCCCCGGGUGGACCCCCAGACGCAGCGAGCUCCUUCGGCACGCGUCGCGGGCUUCCCGGGGCCGCCUUGCCCCACAGACGUAACCGGUUGACCUCGGAUCAGGUAGGGAUACCCGCUGAACUUAAGCAUAUCAAUAAGCGGAGGCU
rnacentral:misc_RNA from 1 species